rnacentral:rRNA from 1 species
GACGAACGCUGGCGGCGUGCUUAACACAUGCAAGUCGAACGGAAAGGCCCUGCCUUUGUGGGGUGCUCGAGUGGCGAACGGGUGAGUAACACGUGAGUAACCUGCCCUUGACUUUGGGAUAACUUCAGGAAACUGGGGCUAAUACCGGAUAGGAGCUCCUGCUGCAUGGUGGGGGUUGGAAAGUUUCGGCGGUUGGGGAUGGACUCGCGGCUUAUCAGCUCGUUGGUGGGGUAGUGGCUUACCAAGGCUUUGACGGGUAGCCGGCCUGAGAGGGUGACCGGCCACAUUGGGACUGAGAUACGGCCCAGACUCCUACGGGAGGCAGCAGUGGGGAAUAUUGCACAAUGGGCGGAAGCCUGAUGCAGCAACGCCGCGUGCGGGAUGACGGCCUUCGGGUUGUAAACCGCUUUCGCCUGUGACGAAGCGUGAGUGACGGUAAUGGGUAAAGAAGCACCGGCUAACUACGUG